UACAGAGGGGGCAAGCGUUGUUCGGAAUUACUGGGCGUAAGGACGGCGCUAGAGCGGCCUGCUAAGUCGAACGUGAAAUCCCUGGGCUCAACCCAGGAACUGCGUCCGAUACUGGUUGGCUUGAAUCCGGGAGAGGGACGUGGAAUCCAGGUGUAGCGGUGAAAUGCGUAGAUAUCUGGAGGAACACCGGUGGCGAAGGCGACGUCCUGGACCGGCAUUGACGCUGAGGCGCGAAAGCCAGGGGAGCAAACGGG
rnacentral:rRNA from 1 species